AAACAACCUGUUUGCUUCUGAAACGGUCGAGGGAGCCACCCCUGAGGAUCGGUGGCCGGAAUCCGAAAGGUUUCUUGACAUUUUUUAGGCUUUUUGUGGUUUUUUGGGAGUUUUGAGCUUGGAUCUGGGUUUAAAAGGGUUGAAAAGGCCGAAUAAGGAAUUUUUCCUUUUUCGGCCACCGCAGACGGCGGUGCCGGCGCCAGAGAUCGGCGGCCGGCGCAAUGGCCGAUGAUUGGUCGUUGACCGGACUUAG
rnacentral:lncRNA from 1 species